UGAAGUUGUGUGCAGUUUGCA
ensembl:piRNA 21ur-5444 ncRNA